CACAGGAUGCACCAGGGUCACCAGGAAGCCGGGUAGGGGGUGCUCCCCGGCAAAAAGCUGGGCUCUGGCUUCACACAGACCCGAAUUCAAAUCCCCACUCUGCCGCCUAGGUGCAAUGGCUCAUGCCUGUAAUCCCAGCACCAUGGGAGGACAAGGCGGGUGGAUCGUGAGGUCAGGAGUUCAAGACCAGCCUGGCCAACAUAGUGAAACCCCGUCUCUACUAAAAAUACAAAAAUUAGCUGGGCAUGGUGGUGGGCACCUGUAAUCUCAGCUACUUGGGAGGCUGAGGCAGGAGAAUUGCUUGAACCCAGGAGGCAGAGGCAGAGGCUGCAGUGAGUGACAGAGUGAGACUCUGUCGCAAAAAAAAAUUAAAAAUUAAAAAAUCGAAUCCCCGCUGUACCACCUGCUAGCUGUGGAACUGGGAGUAAAUAAUUUUUUUUUAUUUAUUUGAUUGGGUUCUUUUUGUUGUUGUUUGCUAUUGAGAUCGACCAUUCCAGCCUUCCGGGUUGCCAGGAAGGCUAAAUAAGGUCAUGGGUAUAAAACAAGACGUCUUCAGUUAGGAUUUAGUUCAGGCAACAUCUGCAAAGGGAUCGGCUCGAUGUUUUGACACUCACGCCCUCAACAUCAUUCAUCACAGGUCUGGAGGCUCCCGUACAGGUGUCUAGGCUCAGAAGCCACAGGACGUGAGUUCGAAUCCAUCCUCUGCCUCCUCAAAGCCAAGUGAUCUCAGAUGGUACCAUGCCUUGAUUUCUGGCAGGAGCCCAAAAUGCAGGUCAACUUUCUGGGGAUAAUCGUUUCUACAAGUGGAUGAACUACUGAAGACGAAAGCCCUGCCUGGCACCACGAAUGCAACGCCAUGGCCUCCAGAGGCCAUGCUUGGGCAUCGGGGCAUCGUGGAUAAAUCAAGAGAAGAAUUUUGUUCUCAAGAAUGUUAAAGCUGAAGAAGCCAAAUGCUUAUCUAAAAUUAGAAUUAUAGUGAUUAAAUGUAAGAGAUUUAAAUUCA